GACAGAGGAUGCAAGCGUUAUCCGGAAUGAUUGGGCGUAAAGCGUCUGUAGGUGGCUUUUUAAGUCUGCCGUCAAAUCCCAGGGCUUAACCCUGGACAGGCGGUGGAAACUACCAAGCUGGAGUACGGUAGGGGCAGGGGGAAUUUCCGGUGGAGCGGUGAAAUGCGUAGAGAUCGGAAAGAACACCAACGGCGAAAGCACUCUGCUGGGCCGACACUGACACUGAGACGCGAAAGCGUGGGGAGCAAACAGG
rnacentral:rRNA from 1 species